AGUGAACGCUGGCGGUAGGCCUAACACAUGCAAGUCGAACGGCAGCACAGUAAGAGCUUGCUCUUACGGGUGGCGAGUGGCGGACGGGUGAGGAAUACAUCGGAAUCUACUUUUUCGUGGGGGAUAACGUAGGGAAACUGACGCUAAUACCGCAUACGACCUACGGGUGAAAGCAGGAGAGCUUCGGACCUUGCGCGAUUCAAUGAGCCGAUGUCGGAUUAGCUAGUUGGCGGGGUAAAGGCCCACCAAGGCGACGAUCCGUAGCUGGUCUGAGAGGAUGAUCAGCCACACUGGAACUGAGACACGGUCCAGACUCCUACGGGAGGCAGCAGUGGGGAAUAUUGGACAAUGGGCGCAAGCCUGAUCCAGCCAUACCGCGUGGGUGAAGAAGGCCUUCGGGUUGUAAAGCCCUUUUGUUGGGAAAGAAAAGCAGCAGGUUAAUACCCCGCUGUUCUGACGGUACCCAAAGAAUAAGCACCGGCUAACUUCGUG
rnacentral:rRNA from 1 species